UGAGCAAUCUACCUUUUUGUGGGGGAUAGCCGGCCCAACGGCCGGGUAAUACCGCAUACGAUCUUCGAGAGGCAUUUCUUGAAGAUGAAGCCUACGGGGCAAAAAGAGGAGCUCGCGGCCUAUCAGCUAGUUGGUGAGGUAAUGGCUCACCAAGGCAGUGACGGGUAGCUGGUCUGAGAGGAUGGCCAGCCACAUUGGGACUGAGAUACGGCCCAGACUCCGUAGGGAGG
rnacentral:rRNA from 1 species